UACGGAGGGUGCAAGCGUUAUCCGGAUUCACUGGGUUUAAAGGGUGCGUAGGUGGGUUGAUAAGUCAGUGGUGAAAUCCCCGAGCUUAACUUGGGAACUGCCAUUGAUACUAUUGAUCUUGAAUACCGUGGAGGUCAGCGGAAUAUGUCAUGUAGCGGUGAAAUGCUUAGAUAUGACAUAGAACACCAAUUGCGAAGGCAGCUGGCUACGCGAAUAUUGACACUGAUGCGCGAAAGCGUGGGGAUCAAACAGG
rnacentral:rRNA from 1 species